AACUUCCUAGGUACAUUGAUCAUGACUGGCAAAUGACCCCUAUUGAUUUUCAGGUCACUAGGUCAAAGGUCAAGGUCACAGUGACUUGAAAUAGUAAAAUGGUUUCCGGAUGAUAACUCAAGAACGCUUAGGCCUAGGAUCAUGAAACUUCAUAGGUACAUUGAUCAUGACUGGCAGAUGACCCCUCUUGAUUUUCAGAUCACUAGGUCAAAGGUCAAGGUCACAGUGACUUGAAAUAGUAAAAUGGUUUCUUGAUGAUAACUCAAGAAUGCUUACGCCUAGAAUCAUGAAACUUCAUAGGUACAUUGAUCAUGACUGGCAGAUGACCCCUAUUGAUUUUCAGGUCACUAUGUCAAAGGUCAAGGUCACAGUGACUUGAAACAGUAAAAUGGUUUCCGGAUGAUAACUCAAGAAUGCUUACGUCUAGGAUCAUGAAACUUCAUAGGAACAUUGAUCAUGACUGGCAGAUGACCCCUAUUGAUUUUCAGGUCACUAGGUCAAAGGUCAAGGUCACAGUGACUCGAAACAGUAAAAUGGU